rnacentral:rRNA from 1 species
UACGUAGGGUGCGAGCGUUGUCCGGAAUUAUUGGGCGUAAAGGGCUCGUAGGCGGUUUGUCGCGUCGGGAGUGAAAACACCGGGCUUAACUCGGUGCUCGCUUUCGAUACGGGCAGACUAGAGGCAUGCAGGGGAGAACGGAAUUCCUGGUGUAGCGGUGAAAUGCGCAGAUAUCAGGAGGAACACCGGUGGCGAAGGCGGGUCUCUGGGCAGUAACUGACGCUGAGGAGCGAAAGCGUGGGGAGCGAACAGG